rnacentral:rRNA from 1 species
GUGCCAGCAGCCGCGGUAAUACGAAGGGGGCAAGCGUUGCUCGGAAUGACUGGGCGUAAAGGGAGUGCAGGCGGUUUAUAGCUGUUGGGUGUGAAAUUUUGGGGCUUAACCCUGAAACUGCAUUCAAGACGUGUAUACUAGAGUAUGUGAGAGGAUAGUGGAAUUCCCAGUGUAGAGGUGAAAUUCGUAGAUAUUGGGAAGAACACCGGUUGCGAAGGCGGCUAUCUGGUGCAUUACUGACGCUGAGGCGCGAAAGCGUGGGGAGCAAACAGGAUUAGAUACCCGGGUAGUCC